CAGCCCCGCUUCAGCCUUCCCGCCCUCCAGGCCCGAGCCAAUGGAGCUGCCUCUGCCUCUCGAGUGAUGGCAGUAUUAGCCAAUAGUAGCACGGGGUCGCCACCGCCUCCUGGCGGGCGUUGCAGGCCGCGCGGGCUGCUGAGGGGGCGCGUGCGCGGGCUGCCUUCGGAGGGGCCGCGGCGGGAGCGCGGAGAAGCCCCGCUGCCUGGAUCCUGCCUGCGUGCUGCCCUCUGCCGCCUCGUUGAGGCAGGAUGGGGAGAGAGAAGUUCGGAAACAGGCCUGUCUGAAGCAUGUUUGCCAGACCAUGCCUCUGUGUGCACCACCAAACCUGUGGAUGAGGUGAAUGCCUGUGACGGCGAGCCCUGCGCAGCGAGGCUGUGGGUCAGAUGCAGGGGAGGCCAAAGUGGUGGUUGUGCUUUGUGCUACGUGACGUAGCUUGUAGCAGAGCUGACUUGAUCUGUCACUGCAAUGUGCCAGGCUGAGCUGCACUGACGGGACUCCAGCAUGGAGCUUCCUCACGUAUCUGCCUCUAACUUGCUGCUCUCGUCCUGCUGUACCACCUUGGCAGCCCUGCAGAAAUCCCACUGGGAAUGCCCCUAAUCUUGGCUCUCUCUGGGGACCAGUCAGCCCUGUGUGUUAAGGAGGACCUUGCGAUUGAGAGCUGGGAUCUCUGCAUCACAAGAAAGUCCUGUUGAUGCUG